rnacentral:rRNA from 1 species
AUUGAACGCUGGCGGCAGGCCUAACACAUGCAAGUCGAACGCGUGGCGGACGGGUGAGUAAUGUCUGGGAAACUGCCUGAUGGAGGGGGAUAACUACUGGAAACGGUAGCUAAUCCCGCAUACCAUCGGAUGUGCCCAGAUGGGAUUGGCUAGUAGGUGGGGUAACGGCUCACCUGGGCGACGAUCCCUAGCUGGUUUGAGAGGAUGACCAGCCACACUGGAACUGAGACACGGUCCAGAUUCCUACGGGAGGCAGCAGUGGGGAAUAUUGCACAAUGGGCGCAAGCCUGAUGCAGCCAUGCCGCGUGUAUGAAGAAGGCCUUCGGGUUGUAAAGUACUUUCAGCGGGGAGGCGUUACCCACAGAAGAAGCACCGGCUAACUCCGUGCCAGCAGCCGCGGUAAUAC